GAGUUUGAUCCUGGUUCAGGAUGAACGCUGGCGGCAUGCCUAACACAUGCAAGUCGAACGAAGUUACCGGAGCAGCGGACUUAGGUUCAACGCACCGACUAACUUAGUGGCGGAUGGGUGAGUAACACGUGAGCAACCAACCUUUUACUCGGGAAUAACAUGGGGAAACCCAUGCUAAUACCUGAUAUUAUCAAGAAAUGGCAUCAUAAUUUGAUGAAAGAUUUAUCGGUAAAAGACGGGCUCGCGUCCGAUUAGCUAGUUGGUAAGGUAAUGGCUUACCAAGGCCACGAUCGGUAGCCGGACUGAGAGGUCGACCGGCCACAUUGGGACUGAGAACGGCCCAGACUCCUACGGGAGGCAGCAGUGGGGAAUAUUGGGCAAUGGACGCAAGUCUGACCCAGCGAUGCCGCGUGAAGGAUGGAAGGCCCUCGGGUUGUAAACUUCUUUAGACAGGGAAGAAAGAAAUGACAUUACCUGUAGAAUAAGCCACGGCUAACUACGUGCCAGCAGCCGCGGUAAUACGUAGGUGGCGAGCG
rnacentral:rRNA from 2 species